rnacentral:rRNA from 1 species
UAGGGAAUCUUCCACAAUGGGCGCAAGCCUGAUGGAGCAACACCGCGUGAGUGAAGAAGGGUUUCGGCUCGUAAAACUCUGUUGUUGAAGAAGAACGUGCGUGAGAGUAACUGUUCACGCAGUGACGGUAUUCAACCAGAAAGUCACGGCUAACUACGUGCCAGCAGCCGCGGUAAUACGUAGGUGGCAAGCGUUAUCCGGAUUUAUUGGGCGUAAAGCGAGCGCAGGCGGUUUUCUAAGUCUGAUGUGAAAGCCUUCGGCUUAACCGGAGAAGUGCAUCGGAAACUGGAUAACUUGAGUGCAAGAGAGGACAGUGGAACUCCAUGUGUAGCGGUGGAAUGCGUAGAUAUAUGGAAGAACACCAGUGGCGAAGGCGGCUGUCUAGCUUGCAACUGACGCUGAGGCUCGAAAGCAUGGGUAGCGAACAGG